UACGUAUGGUGCAAGCGUUAUCCGGAUUUACUGGGUGUAAAGGGAGCGUAGACGGAGUGGCAAGUCUGAUGUGAAAAUCCGGGGCUCAACCCCGGGACUGCAUUGGAAACUGUCAAUCUAGAGUACCGGAGAGGUAAGCGGAAUUCCUAGUGUAGCGGUGAAAUGCGUAGAUAUUAGGAGGAACACCAGUGGCGAAGGCGGCUUACUGGACGGUAACUGACGUUGAGGCUCGAAAGCGUGGGGAGCAAACAGG
rnacentral:rRNA from 1 species